GUUGGGUACGGAGACAUCUACCCCAAAACUCUCCUGGGGAAAAUCGUUGGUGGUCUCUGCUGCAUUGCGGGGGUCCUGGUGAUUGCUCUUCCCAUCCCCAUCAUCGUCAAUAAC
rfam:Fukomys damarensis contig81487, whole genome shotgun sequence.